rnacentral:rRNA from 1 species
CUCUGACUGUGCUAAGGUAGCAUAAUCAUUUGUUUAUUAACUGUAAACUAGAAUGAACGGCUUGACGAGAGGGGGACUGUCUCCUUUAAUGACUGGAACUUUAUUUAAAGGUUAAAAAGCCUUUGCACUCUAAAAAGACGACAAGACCCUAGAACCUGUUUAAAAUAAAGUAGUUGCUAAUAUUUAAAUAUUAAAUUUGCUGGGGCGGCAAUAAAUUUAAUCAUAUAAUUUCGGUACACCUUGAGUGAAUUUAUUUACCUAAUUUUGUACUUAAUAAGGUACUCUAGGGAUAACAGCACUCUUUCCCUAAAAAGACCUCAUUGACAGGUGAAAAGUGACCUCGAUGUUGAAUUGAAGUUCCUUCUU